UACGGAGGGUGCAAGCGUUGUUCGGAAUUACUGGGCGUAAAGGGCGUGUAGGCGGCUUGGCAAGUCAGAUGUGAAAGCCCUGGGCUUAACCCAGGAAGUGCAUUUGAAACUGCCAGGCUAGAGUAUGGGAGAGGAGAGUGGAAUUCCCAGUGUAGAGGUGAAAUUCGUAGAUAUUGGGAGGAACACCGGUGGCGAAGGCGACUCUCUGGACCAAUACUGACGCUGAGACGCGAAAGCGUGGGGAGCAAACAGG
rnacentral:rRNA from 1 species